rnacentral:rRNA from 1 species
AGAACGAACGCUGGCGGCAGGCUUAACACAUGCAAGUCGAACGCCCCGCAAGGGGAGUGGCAGACGGGUGAGUAACGCGUGGGAAUCUACCCAGUUCUACGGAAUAACACAGGGAAACUUGUGCUAAUACCGUAUACGCCCUACGGGGGAAAGAUUUAUCGGGAUUGGAUGAGCCCGCGUUGGAUUAGCUAGUUGGUGGGGUAAUGGCCUACCAAGGCGACGAUCCAUAGCUGGUCUGAGAGGAUGAUCAGCCACACUGGGACUGAGACACGGCCCAGACUCCUACGGGAGGCAGCAGUGGGGAAUAUUGGACAAUGGGCGCAAGCCUGAUCCAGCCAUGCCGCGUGAGUGAUGAAGGCCUUAGGGUUGUAAAGCUCUUCGGCGGGGAAGAUAAUGACGGUACCGCAGAAGAAGCCCGGCUAACUUCGUGCCAGCAGCCGC